GAGGGUAUAGCUCAGUGGUAGAGCUCAUGCUUAUUAAGCAAGAGAUCAUGGAUUCAAUCCCCAGCACUUCCA
rnacentral:tRNA from 1 species